GAGAGAAAAAAAAAUUAAAUUAGCAGUAAGGCUAGUUUUCUUCACAGUCAAGUGAAGAUUUUUUCAGAGGCUUAUGGUUUUUGUGGUCGUCGCAGGGCAUUCAAAUCAGCAUGAUCAUCACGGAUUACUGUAUGCCUCACAUGACAGGCUAUGAUCUUCUGAAGAGAGUAAAGGUGAGUGAAAAAAAUCGCUUUUUUUUCUUUUUUCGAAAGGAGGUUACCGAUUUGCGGGUCCAUUGCAGGGUGUUUCUUCACUCAAGGAGAUCCCGGUUGUGAUCAUGUCGUCUGAAAACGUAGAACAAAGGAUAAACAGGUUGGUUGAAUUUGCGUAAACAAGUUAAAGACGACCUCGUUCUAACCGUGUGAAUGGAUGAAUGGAUGAUCGUUUCAACAGUUGUUACGAAGAAGGUGCCGAGGACUUCAUCAUAAAGCCCGUGAAGCUGGCC
rnacentral:lncRNA from 1 species